AUUGAACGCUGGCGGCAUGCUUUACACAUGCAAGUCGAACGGUAACAGGCCUUCGGGUGCUGACGAGUGGCGAACGGGCGAGUAAUGCAUCGGAACGUACCCAGAGGUGGGGGAUAACGCAGCGAAAGCUGUGCUAAUACCGCAUGUGAUCUGAGGAUGAAAGCGGGGGACCGAGCAGCAAUGUUUGGCCUCGCGCCUUUGGAGCGGCCGAUGUCGGAUUAGCUAGUUGGUGGGGUAAAGGCCUACCAAGGCGACGAUCCGUAGCUGGUCUGAGAGGACGACCAGCCACACUGGGACUGGAACACGGCCCAGGCGACUGAGGGAGGCAGCAGUGGGGAAUUUUGGACAAUGGGGGCAAGCAUGAUCCAGCAAGGCCGCGUGCGGGAAGAAGGCCUUCGGGUUGGAAACCGCUUUUGGCAGGAACGAAACGGUGUCCGCUAAUACCGGGCGCUAAUGACGGUACCUGCAGAAUAAGCACCGGCUAACUACGUG
rnacentral:rRNA from 1 species